UUUUAUAGACUGGACGUGGGCUGACGCCCCGGGGGGUCCGCCCCCCCCUCGCCCCCAGGAUACAGAGCGAUGUCACCGAGCCCUGGUGGCCCUUUUUGGGGACCACCCCAACUCCCCCUUUGGGAUCCACCGCCUGGUGGAGCUCGGCCGCGGCGCUGGGAAGCGUGCAGGGGAUUGGUACGGCCCCUCCAUCGUGGCACACAUCCUCAGGAAGGCGGUGGAGAGCUGCCCCGAGGUGUCCGGGAUGGCGGUGUACGUGGCGCAGGAUUGCACCGUGUACAAAGAGGACGUGGCUGCGCUGCUGGAAGGGGACGCUGAGGCAGCCGUCAUCCUGCUGGUCCCCGUCCGCCUGGGGGGGGAACGUCUCAACCCCGUCUACGUGGAGGGCAUGAAGGUGGGGUUUCCAACAGGGAGCUGUUGGGGAGGGUCCAGAGCUGUAGAGCUGUUCUGUUAGGAUAAGUUCCUCUCUGCUCUGCUCUUGUGAGGCCCCGUCUGCAGCACUGCGUCCAAGUCUGGAGCCCCCAGGACAAAAAAGACAGGGAGCUGUUGGGGAGGGUCCUGAGGAGCCACCAAGAUGAGCAGGGGGGCUGCAGCACCUCCACUGUGAGGACAGGCUGAGGGAGCUGGGCUUGUUCAGCAUGGAGAAGAGAAAACUGCGGGGUGAAUCAUUGCAGCCUUCAGCACCUCAAGGGAGCCUGAAAACAGGAGGGGAAUCGACUCUUGGAAAGGGUUGAUCACUGCAGGAUGAGGGGAAACGGUUUGGAGUUGAUUGAGGUUGGAUGUCAGGGAGAAAUUGUUUGCUGUGAGAGCGGUGAGGUGCUGGAACAGCUGCACAGAGAGGCUGUUGGUGCCCCGUCCAUCCUUGGAGGUGUUGGAGGCCAGGUUGGAUGGGGCCCUGGGCAGCCUGGGCUGGCAGGAAAUGGGGAGGUUGGUGGCCCUGCAUGCAGCAGGGGGUUGGAGAUUCAUCAUCCUUGAGGUCCCUUCCAACCCAACCAUUCUGUGAUUCUGUGGGGACACCAUGGGGACACCCAGGGGACAGUGGGGGGGGGUCCCAAUCUCUGCAUCACAGGAACACUGGGUGACAUGGGGACACUCGAAGGGGCACCCAGGGACACUGGGGGUCCCAAGUCCAUGACAUGGGGACACCCAGGGGACAGUGGGGGGGGAUCCCAAGCCCAUGAACGUGGGGACACCCAAGGGACACCCAGGGGACACCCAGGGGGACACCCAGGGGACAGUGGGGGGGGUCCCAAUCUCUGCAUCAUGGGAACA
rnacentral:lncRNA from 1 species